UGGGGAAUCUUGGACAAUGGGCGAAAGCCUGAUCCAGCCAUGCCGCGUGAGUGACGAAGGUCUUCGGAUUGUAAAGCUCUUUUGGCGGGGACGAUAAUGACGGUACCCGCAGAAUAAGCCCCGGCUAACUUCGUGCCAGCAGCCGCGGUAAUACGAAGGGGGCUAGCGUUGUUCGGAAUUACUGGGCGUAAAGCGCACGUAGGCGGAUUUGUAAGUCAGGGGUGAAAUCCCGGGGCUCAACCUCGGAACUGCCCUUGAUACUGCAAAUCUCGAGUCCGAUAGAGGUGAGUGGAAUUCCUAGUGUAGAGGUGAAAUUCGUAGAUAUUAGGAAGAACACCGGUGGCGAAGGCGGCCCACUGGAUCGGUACUGACGCUGAGGUGCGAAAGCGUGGGGAGCAAACAGGAUUAGAUACCCACGUAGUCCCUGAGCGGGCUGGCAAGGCGCAU
rnacentral:rRNA from 1 species